UAGUCUACAGGUAUUUUUUUUUGUCAGUUUUGGUUUCGCUAGUUUUGCUCCAAGCGCAGUUGCUACAAUCCGCAGUGGGGCAGUGCGGCGCAAAACUCUCGAGCUCUCUGUAUUUGUUCGGUCGCUCGAAGUAGCGAUAGGGUUCUUUAUUCUAUGGCGAUAGCGUGCUGAACUAGCAACUGGAACGAUGCUUGUGUCGCGGCGUGUUGACGAAGCCCUUACGAGAAAGCGACGGCAUCGUAAAAGGAAAAGCCUGUCUAAUGGGGACGAAGUAGUUCAGAUGUUUGCAUUUGGCACAUCAACGUGGCACACAAGUGAGGCCUGUUUUGCCAAGUGGUGCAGAAUUCACGCUACCAGCUCCACUACAGUGUCAGCAUUGAAAUGUCGAGCACCAACCUAGUAUGCCUUCAGUGACCACGGUUUCGCUCAUGCCCUCCCCAUUGAGACUGCGGGGUGAUAAUUGGAUGCGAUCAAACGCCAUCUUCAUCAGAAAAGCCACACUCCUUGCACCAUUGCCUUAUGCUGUCCAACAUGAUGCAAUGCUGUAACUGAUGGUGAAAAAGCCACUGGUGUGUGCCUGACUCCUGGGCAGGCAGAUACCCUCCAGCUGUGGUGUUGCAUUGGCAUUCAUCGAACAUGCGACUACUGCAUGGACAAGAGUCUUGCGCCUUACAGUCUACAGCCUCUACAGCCUUACAGCCCUACAGCCUUACACUCGAAAAGUUUGGGUCGAUCCAGCAGUCUGUGUCAGGUCACCAAACAGAUUUGUCAUGUCUGUUCCUCAAGCAACGAGCAUCAGCAAAUAGCUCAAGUGAGUUGAAUGUGUAGAGCGGAAUGGGCAAUAAGUAUUGGUGCAUUCCUUCGCGUAUGCUGCAAACAGCUGUGAGCCUCAACUAGCAUUACUUCAAAUUACCACCACUUAAAAUUAACCGGUGAAGAUGUGGCUAAUUUAAAUCAGUAGUUAAGAAAGCAAGUAGUGCAGGCAUAACCUAAAAAAGCAGGGUUAGUUAACCCGGUGCGGUGGCUCAGUCAUAUAAGGCGUUGCGCUGCUGAACAUGAGGUCGCGGGAUCGAAUCCUAGCCGCGGCAGCCGCAUUUCGAUGGAGGAGAAAUGUGGACAUGCCCGUGUGCUUGCAUUGUAGUGCACGUUAAAGAACCCCAGGUGGUGAAAAUUAAUCUGGAAGCUUCCACUACGGUGUGCCUCAUAAUCAGAACUGGUUUUGCCAUGCAAUACCCCAGAAAGAAGGAAUGAAGUCCUCAUGUUACUGCUG